AGUCAUAUGCUUGUCUCAAAGAUUAAGCCAUGCAUGUCUAAGUAUAAGCAAUUAUACAGCGAAACUGCGAAUGGCUCAUUAUAUAAGUUAUCGUUUAUUUGAUAGUACCUUACUACUUGGAUAACCGUGGUAAUUCUAGAGCUAAUACAUGCUAAAAAUCCCGACUUCGGAAGGGAUGUAUUUAUUAGAUUAAAAACCAAUGCCCUCUGGGCUCCUUGGUGAUUCAUAAUAACUUUUCGAAUCGCACGGCCUUGCGCCGGCGAUGGUUCAUUCAAAUUUCUUCCCUAUCAACUUUCGAUGUUUGGGUCUUGGCCAAACAUGGUCGCAACGGGUAACGGAGGGUUAGGGCUCGACCCCGGAGAAGGAGCCUGAGAAACGGCUACUACAUCCAAGGAAGGCAGCAGGCGCGCAAAUUACCCAAUCCCGAUUCGGGGAGGUAGUGACAAUAAAUACUGAUACAGGGCUCUUUUGGGUCUUGUAAUUGGAAUGAGUACAAUUUAAAUCUCUUAACGAGGAACAAUUGGAGGGCAAGUCUGGUGCCAGCAGCCGCGGUAAUUCCAGCUCCAAUAGCGUAUAUUAAAGUUGUUGUGGUUAAAAAGCUCGUAGUUGAACCUUGGGCCUGGCUGGCCGGUCCGCCUCACCGCGUGCACUGGUCCGGCCGGGCCUUUCCCUCUGUGGAACCCCAUGCUCUUCACUGAGUGUGGCGGUGAAACAGGACUUUUACUUUGAAAAAAUUAGAGUGCUCCAGGCAGGCCUAUGCUCGAAUACAUUAGCAUGGAAUAAUAAAAUAGGACGCGUGGUUCUAUUUUGUUGGUUUCUAGGACCGCCGUAAUGAUUAAUAGGGACAGUCGGGGGCAUCAGUAUUCAAUUGUCAGAGGUGAAAUUCUUGGAUUUAUUGAAGACUAACUACUGCGAAAGCAUUUGCCAAGGAUGUUUUCAUUAAUCAGGAACGAAAGUUAGGGGAUCGAAGACGAUCAGAUACCGUCGUAGUCUUAACCAUAAACUAUGCCGACUAGGGAUCGGACGAUGUUAUUUUUUGACGCGUUCGGCACCUUACGAGAAAUCAAAGUGCUUGGGCUCCAGGGGGAGUAUGGUCGCAAGGCUGAAA
rnacentral:rRNA from 1 species